rnacentral:tRNA from 1 species
UUAUACAGAAGUAAAUUUACAGUUAAUUUCGACUUAAUAGCUAAGGCUUCCUACCUUCGUAUAAG